UACGUAGGGGGCAAGCGUUGUCCGGAUUUAUUGGGCGUAAAGAGCUUGUAGGCGGUUUGGUAAGUCCGUUGUGAAAACUCGAGGCUCAACCUCGAGACGCCGAUGGAAACCAUCAGACUAGAGGCCGGAAGAGGAGAGUGGAAUUCCUGGUGUAGCGGUGAAAUGCGCAGAUAUCAGGAAGAACACCCGUGGCUAAGGCGGCUCUCUAGUACGGUACUGACGCUGAGACGCGAAAGCGUGGGGAGCGAACAGG
rnacentral:rRNA from 1 species